rnacentral:rRNA from 15 species
CGAUGAAGAACGCAGCUAGCUGCGAGAACUAAUGUGAAUUGCAGGACACAUUGAUCAUCGACACUUCGAACGCACCUUGCGGCCCCGGGUUCCUCCCGGGGCUACGCCUGUCUGAGGGUCG